UACAGAGGCCUCAAGCGUUGUUCGGAAUUACUGGGCGUAAAGAGAAUGUAGGUGGUGAUGUAAGUCAGAUGUGAAAGCCCUGGGCUCAACCCGGGAAAUGCAUUUGAUACUGCGUUGCUAGAGUGUGGAAGAGGAGAGUGGAAUUCCCGGUGUAGGAGUGAAAUCCGUAGAUAUCGGGAGGAAUUCCGAUGGCGAAGGCAACUCUCUGGUCCAUUACUGACACUGAGAUUCGAAAGCAUGGGUAGCAAACAGG
rnacentral:rRNA from 1 species